AUGUUCAAGUUACUUGCAGUUCUCCCGGUACUCUUCUUGAGUUUUGCAAUGGCAUGGACGCAGCCAGCCAAUGUGACUGGCAUGAGCUUCCAGCUUGUUGCCCUUAGUCGGGUACCUGAUGGGGACGCUGGCAAUGGCUCUUCCUACACCGUCAAGGACCUGCGCCCGUUGGCCUUGGCGCCGUCUGACUAUGUGCAUGGCGUGUUCGUGUCGAUCGGCACCGGACAAGGCGGCAGGCGGAAGGUCCUUGCGCUUGACACCUCCGCCAGCACGUCAUGGGUGAUGUGUGAGCCGUGUCGUCCACCGUUGCAUCAAGUCGGCAGACUCUUCUCGCCGGCUGCGUCACCCACGUUCCGUGGUGUCCACGGCAAUGACCCUGUCUGCGUCCCACCUUACCACCGCCUCCACUCGGCCAACGGGUGCUCUUUUGCCUAA
rnacentral:rRNA from 1 species